rnacentral:rRNA from 1 species
UACGUAGGCAGCAAGCGUUGUUCGGAGUUACUGGGCGUAAAGAGUGCGUAGGUGGUGCCCUAAGUCUGUUGUGAAAUCUCCCGGCUUAACUGGGAGGGUGCGGUGGAAACUAGGGUGCUUGAGUGUGGGAGAGGUAAGCGGAAUUCCUGGUGUAGCGGUGAAAUGCGUAGAUAUCAGGAGGAACACCGGUGGUGUAGACGGCUUACUGGACCACGACUGACACUGAGGCACGAAAGCGUGGGUAGCAAACAGG